GACGUAGGUGGCGAGCGUUGUUCGGAAUCACUGGGCAUAAAGCGCACGUAGGCGGCCAAGUCAGUCAGGUGUGAAAUACCUCGGCUCAACCGAGGAACUGCGCCUGAUACUGCUUGGCUUGAGGUCCGGAGGGAGAGUGGAAUUCCGGUGGAGCGGUGAAAUGCGUAGAUAUCAAGAGGAACACCUGAGGUGAAGACGGGUUGCUGGGCCAACACUGACGCUGGAUGACGCGAAAGCCAGGGGAGCAAACGGG
rnacentral:rRNA from 1 species